GUCGGAACUCUUCAGUUCCUCACAAACCACCAAACAACACAGACAUGUGGCGCAAGUGUAUACUGUUGUUCUGUAUACUGGGCUAUACUGUCUCUGGAGCUGAUUCCAGACAUUCUCAUCAAACCAGAUCUGUAAGGCCGCGACGAGAUUUCCCUCGAGCUGGUCGCCAGGUCGACGGGAAUGGAAUCGACUUUUCUAACGCUGUCUUCGACGAGCAAAC